rnacentral:rRNA from 1 species
GACGUAGGGCGCGAGCGCUGUCCGGAUUUAUUGGGCGUAAAGAGCUCGUAGGCGGCUUGUCGCGUCGACCGUGAAAACUCGCAGCUCAACUGCGAGCCUGCGGUCGAUACGGGCAGGCUAGAGUUCGGUAGGGGAGACUGGAAUUCCUGGUGUAGCGGUGAAAUGCGCAGAUAUCAGGAGGAACACCGAUGGCGAAGGCAGGUCACUGGGCCGCAACUGACGCUGAGGAGCGAAAGCAUGGGGAGCGAACAGG